rnacentral:rRNA from 1 species
UACGUAGGGUGCAAGCGUUGUCCGGAAUUAUUGGGCGUAAAGAGCUUGUAGGCGGUUUGUCGCGUCUGCUGUGAAAUUUCGGGGCUCAACCCCGAACUUGCAGUGGGUACGGGCAGACUAGAGUGUGGUAGGGGAGACUGGAAUUCCUGGUGUAGCGGUGAAAUGCGCAGAUAUCAGGAGGAACACCAAUGGCGAAGGCAGCUCGCUGGGACGGUACUGACGCUGAGGCGCGAAAGCGUGGGGAGCAAACAGG